AGAGAUGGUGUCAUCGCUGGGAU
rnacentral:piRNA from 1 species